rnacentral:rRNA from 1 species
UACAGAGGGUGCAAGCGUUGUUUCGGAGUUACUGGGGCGUAAAGCGCGUGUAGGCGGCGUCGUUAGUCGGAUGUGAAAGCCCUCGGCUCAACCGAGGAAGUGCAUCCGAUACAUGCGAGGCUUGAGUGUUGGAGGGGGUGGCGGAAUUCCCGGUGUAGAGGUGAAAUUCGUAGAUAUCGGGAGGAACACCUGUGGCGAAGGCGGCCACCUGACAACACUGACGCUGAGACGCGAAAGCGUGGGUAGCAAACAGG